rnacentral:rRNA from 1 species
ACUAGUGGCAAUCGCUUUUAUUGGGCCUAAAGGGUCUGUAGCCGAUCUAUUAAGUCUCUUGUGAAAUUGUUGAGCUCAACUUAACAAUGUGCUAGAGAUACUGGUAGGUUAGGGACCGGGAAGAGACAGAAGUAUGCUUUGGGAAGCGGUAAAAUGCGAUAAUCCUUAGUAGACUACCUAUGGCGAAGGCAUCUGUCUAGAACGGGUCCGACGGUCAAGGACGAAGGCUGGGAGAACGAUCGGGAUUAGAUACCCCAGUAGCCCCAGCAGUAAACGCUGUGAACUAUGUGUUGCAUAUCCUCCGUGGAUGUGCAGUGCCGUAGCGAGGGUGUUAAGUUCACCGCCUGGGAAGUACGGCCGCAAGACUGAAACUUUAAGGAAUUGGCGGGGGCGCACUACAAGGAGUGCGGCGUGCGGUUUAAUCUAACUACACACAGAGAAUCUCACCAGGAGCGACGGCAGGAUGAAGGUCAGAUUAAAGGUCUUACCUGACGAGCCGAGAGAUGCUGCAUGGCCGACGUCAGCUCGUGCCGCAAGGUGUCACGUUAAGUCGUGCAACGAGCAAGACCUGUAUUUAUAGUUGCUACCGAGUUCUUCGGAAUGAUCGGGCACACUAUAGAGACUGCCUUCGUAAGAAGGAGGAAGGUGCAGGCAACGUUAGGUCUGUAUGGCUCGAAUCUUCUGGGCUACACGCGCGCAACAAUGGUAGGGACAAUGGGAUACGACUCCGAGAGGAGAAGUCAAACCUCUAAACCCUAUCCUAGUUCGGAUUGUGGGCUGUAACUCGCCCUCAUGACGCUGGAAUUCCUAGUAAUCGGAUAUUAGAAGUAUCCGGUGAAUAUGUCCCUGUGCCUUGCACACACCGCCCGUC